GUAACCCAUUUAUUUAACCCAAUUUGCAGUUGUGGGGGAUUGGAUCGUAAUCCACCCUACCAAGUUCAGCACCAGAUACCUCUGAACCAACCAACAAUAGGCAUAUUCUUAUAUAUAUAUAUAUAUUUUUUUUUUCUUCUGCAUGUUUCGCAUAUGUCUUUAUUUUACUGGGUUAAAUGACUGUGUAAGAGUCACCUAGCCCGAAUUUUCAUAUGACUUGAGAACAAAGCAGGAAAUUUUUUUGUGAUCAUUCACUUAUUUUCAUCGGUCCCUUACGUAGAGCAUGCUUAAGCCGGAGCUGACUGCAAGGAUAAACUACUUAAGGACUUAUUUGGAACAAAAAUUGGGGCCACAGCAUAUGGGGUAUCGGGAUAGACUCUUAUAAUCAUGAACCCUACGGUGUUAAGACAAUACAUGUUUUUAGAAAAAGUUUUCCUAAAUCUUUUAAAUCUCGUCAUAAACCUGUCUUAUAGCCUGAAUAUUCAAGAUGCACUGUUUUCUUUGCUCACAAAUUUUUUUUGGUAAGAUUAAAGAAAUGGAAGAAAUACGGAUACACUACACAGAUGACUCGUCAAACACAUGUUAUUUUAUUGAAAGGAAAAGCAAACAACUAAAAACGCACAAAACAUACUAAAAAUAAAGAAAAACAAUAAAAAACGAUAAAAAUCUCCUCCCGCGCUUAAACCGAACAUUGUCCCCAAUGUUUCGAUAUGAGAUAGGGUAGGAGUAACCUGGAAGAGAGAGAAAGAGAACCAUGGGCGAUCACCGUACCGUCACCGUCACGAGCAUUUACUUUAACAAAUAUUGUAGACUCGAAGACACGAGGAGGAAUUGGGUGAAGGGGGAAUAAGGAAACAACAAAAUUAAAUGAGGGAUAUUGUUGUUAAGGACAGACGAGGGCAUGAGGUUUAUAGGGUAACAUGCCAUAUUAGCAUAAUAUCCCCCAUAACCAGAAUGGAACAUUACCAUAGAGAAGUAAGGUCCAAGCGGUUUCUACAAGAUGCAUAUUUUUACGUCUGGCUACCCCAUUUUGUGAAGGUGUAUGAGGGCAAGAUGUUGUAUCGAAUAAAACUGAGACGAUGACAAAUCCCUGCAACCACAAUUGAAGGAAAACCACUUCAGCAAAUUUGUACAAAUCAGAACAUAUGCAGGAUGACUUUUUAUCUAAAGUCCCAAUAAAAAGAUUUUGAUAGUCAUAGUUGGAAAUUACUAGGAUCUGAAAUGAAUUAUAAACAAUAUGCAAAUUUUCAUGUUGAUGUACAUAAAUAUCUAUUAAAGACACAUUUACCACAUAUGGAUAAC
rnacentral:lncRNA from 1 species